rnacentral:rRNA from 1 species
UACGUAGGGGGCAAGCGUUGUCCGGAUUUAUUGGGCGUAAAGGGCGCGUAGGCGGUCCGAUAAGUCCCGUGUGAAAGCCCCCGGCUCAACUGGGGAACUGCACGGGAAACUGACGGACUUGAGUUCGGGAGAGGGAAGCGGAAUUCCGGGUGUAGCGGUGAAAUGCGCAGAUAUCAGGAGGAACACCAAUUGCGAAGGCAGCUCGCUGGGACGUUACUGACGCUGAGGCGCGAAAGCGUGGGGAGCGAACAGG